AGCAGCCGUGGUAAUUCCAGCUCCAAUAGCGUAUAUUAAAGUUGUUGCAGUUAAAAAGCUCGUAGUUGAAUUUCGGGAUCAGUAUGUUGGUCGUGCUUCGGUACGUACUGUCAUUACUGGUUUCUACCUUCUGAAGAACCUUGAUGUCAUUAAUUUGGUGUCUUGGGGAAUCAGGACUGUUACUUUGAAAAAUUAGAGUGUUUAAAGCAAGCAUACGCUUGAAUACAUUAGCAUGGAAUAAUGAAAUAGGACGUUUGAUUCUAUUUUGUUGGUUUCUAGGAUCGACGUAAUGAUUAAUAGGGAUAGUUGGGGGCAUUAGUAUUCAAUUGUCAGAGGUGAAAUUCUUGGAUUUAUUGAAGACUAACUACUGCGAAAGCAUUUGCCAAGGAUGUUUUCAUUAAUCAAGAACGAAAGUUAGGGGAUCGAAGACGAUCAGAUACCGUCGUAGUCUUAACCAUAAACUAUGCCGACUAGGGAUCGGAUGAUGUUAUUUUUAAUGUACUCAUUC
rnacentral:rRNA from 1 species